CCUACGGGAGGCAGCAGUGAGGAAUAUUGGUCAAUGGACGAGAGUCUGAACCAGCAAAGUAGCGUGAAGGAUGACUGCCCUAUGGGUUGUAAACUUCUUCUAUAAGGGAAUAAAAUGUUCCACGUGUGGGAUUUUGUAUGUAACAUAUGAAUAAGGAUUGGCUAACUCAGGGCCAGAAGCCGCGGUUAUACGGAGGAUCUGAGCGUUAUCCGGAUGUAUUGGGUUUAAAGGGUGCGUAGGUGGAUUGUUAAGUCAGUUGUGAAAGUUUGCGGCUCAACCGUAAAAUUGCAGUUGAAACUGGCAGUCAUGAGUACAGUAGAGGUGGGCGGAAUUCGUGGUGUAGCGGUGAAAUGCUUAGAUAUCACGAAGAACUCCGAUUGCGAAGGCAGCUCUCUGGACUGCAACUGACACUGAGGCUCGAAAGUGUGGGUAUCAAACAGGAUUAGAUACCCGGGUAGUC
rnacentral:rRNA from 1 species